GAUGAACGCUGGCGGCGUGCCUAAUACAUGCAAGUCGAGCGAACGGACGAGAAGCUUGCUUUUCUGAUGUUAGCGGCGGACGGGUGAGUAACACGUGGAUAACCUACCUAUAAGACUGGGAUAACUUCGGGAAACCGGAGCUAAUACCGGAUAAUAUUUUGAACCGCAUGGUUCAAAAGUGAAAGACGGUCUUGCUGUCACUUAUAGAUGGAUCCGCGCUGCAUUAGCUAGUUGGUAAGGUAACGGCUUACCAAGGCAACGAUGCAUAGCCGACCUGAGAGGGUGAUCGGCCACACUGGAACUGAGACACGGUCCAGACUCCUAAGGGAGGCAGCAGUAGGGAAUCGUCCGCAAUGGGCGAAAGCCUGACGGAGCAACGCCGCGUGAGAGAUGAAGGUCUUCGGAUCGUAAAACUCUGUUAUUAGGGAAGAACAUAUGUGUAAGUAACUGUGCACAUCUUGACGGUACCUAAUCAGAAAGCCACGGCUAACUACGUG
rnacentral:rRNA from 1 species